AAUAACUGUUUAUUUUAAAUAAUAACCGUGUAUAGAAGCUCUGUAAGACAAAUGAUGUGUGAUAAAUGAUGAUAAAUCGGUUUCAGGAGAAGAUAAAACAGCCAAUGAACGUUUGGUCUCAUGUUUGCGAUACACUUUUUAAAUACACACUUUGAUACACGAGUUUAAUUUCUCUAGGAUUAAUUGGUUUAUUUCUGUUCUCUAGUCUCAUUGUGUCGAAUUAAUUCUGGUUGGAAUCCAUUUCACAAAAAACCCUUAAAACUAGAAACGCUAAUGUUUUGGAGUAACACCGUGAAUGAGUGAUUCUAAGAGUCGACUCGUCCAGAAUGAUUCAGCGAAACGAUCAAUUCAGACAGAAAUAGAAGAAUAUCACAAACUUUAUCACAAACUUUAUCACAAACUUUAUCCAGAUUUGAUUGCACACCUUAAUCCAAUUACACAAAGGUACUGCAACAGAGACUUUGACGAUGAGAAGAUUCUCAUCCAGCAUCAGAAGGCGAAACAUUUCAAAUGUCACAUAUGUCACAAGAAGCUGUACACGGGACCAGGUCUAGCCAUACACUGCAUGCAGGUGCACAAGGAAACGAUAGACGGUGUCCCUAAUGCGAUACCCGGCCGAACCGACAUCGAGCUGGAGAUCUACGGCAUGGAAGGCAUCCCAGAGAAAGACAUGCAGGAGAGGAGGAGGCUUCUGGAACAGAAAUCCCAAGAAAGCCAAAAGAAGAAACAGGACCAGGAUGACUCCGAUGAUGAUGAUGAGGAAGAUGAAGCCGGACCGUCACCGUUUCAGCAGCCGCUCGUUGCCCAGCCACAGAACGCCUACAUGCCCCAGGCUAACUACUCAGGUAUGCCUCCUAUGAUGCCUGGAGUUCACCCAAUGAUGCCCGGAAUGCCUGGAGUGAUGCCCGGCAUGCCACAUGGUAUGAUGCCGAUGGGAGGGAUGAUGCACCCCGGGCCCGGAGUGCCCCUCAUGAUGCCCGGAAUGCCCCCAGGAAUGCCCCCUCACGUACCCCGGCCUGGGAUUCCCUCUAUGGCUCCGGUACCUUCAGUGACGGCACCAGGAGUCCCGGUCCGACCUGCUGCACCCGUCGCUCCACCCGCUGCCUCCAAACCUCUCUUCCCCAGUGCUGCUGCUCAGGCUCAGCAGCCGGUGCCCACUAACGCAGAUCCUCCCAAAGCAACAUUCCCAGCCUACACCCAGCCUCCGUCAUCCUCCUCGUCCUCCACUACUUCUUCCUCCUCUUCCUCUGUUCCUGCUAGUAGCACUGUGGCUAUACUGAACCCCCCAGCAGUCUCCGCUAAGCCGGCCGCCAUCUCCAGCUCCAGUGCUACCAGAGGAGAGGCGAGCUCAGCUGCCUAGGUAUCAGAGGUCGAUUCCUCCUCGUCCUGGGCCCACGGUAGCUGCUGCAGCGCCCCCUGCUGUACCUGUGGGGUCACUACUUCCACAACAGCCUCCUAUCAGACACCCCAUGCACGGUCAGUUCGCUGUACCUCCUCAGGGAAUGCCAGGUUACAUGCCGGUGUACGGACAGGUGCCUCAGUACCAGGGAAUGGGCCGAUACUGACGCACCGUGAGGUUCGCUUCAGUGUCUGCUGAUUAGACGAAUAAACAAACAAACAUACCAAAGGCACGGAGAGACUCAUGACGCCACGCAGGACGCCCACCUCUCUCUCACACACACACACACACACACACGACUGUUUAUCUUUACGGAUCUUGUUUGUUUUUUAUUUCCCCAAAAUUGUUUUCCCUUUAAAGCUGUAACCGUGCCAGUUUAAAGGCAAGGCAAGUUUAAAUAAGUUAAUAAUUUACAUCCCUUUAGUGUGUGUUUAAUCAGUCUGGAGCCUUCACAACAUCUGGUGAGGGCUUCACAGUAGGUGUGUGUGUGUGGAUAAUCGUGCCGAUAAUCAUGUCAAAACACACACCCACACGCUCGUAUAGAUAUAUACUGUGUGUGUCACCACGUUGUACCGUUAAUGCACAAUUUAGUGCUUUCUAUCAUUUUCGUUUGUUUUUCUUAUUUGUUGUUAAAUAAAAAGCACCAGUUUAACAUUUAGACACAUUCCUGUCUGGACCUGUUUGGCACAAUGCCAACAUCCUGUGUCUUUGUGGACCUCAAUAAACACUUUAUUGUAUGUUUGGACCUUUCUUACUAUUAUUAUUUUAUUAUUUUUUUGAACAUGGAUUAAUAAAAUUUAAUUUCCCUUCUU